rnacentral:rRNA from 1 species
UACAGAGGUCUCAAGCGUUGUUCGGAUUCAUUGGGCGUAAAGGGUGCGUAGGCGGCGCGGUAAGUCGGGUGUGAAAUCUUGGAGCUUAACUCCGAAACUGCAUUCGAUACUGCCGUGCUUGAGGACUGGAGAGGAGACUGGAAUUUACGGUGUAGCGGUGAAAUGCGUAGGUAUCGUAAGGAAGACCAGUGGCGAAGGCGGGUCUCUGGACAGUUCCUGACGCUGAGGCACGAAGGCCAGGGGAGCAAACGGG